rnacentral:rRNA from 1 species
GAUGAACGCUCGCGGCAGGCCUAAUACAUGCAAGUCGGACGGGAUUCAGGAGCUUGCUUCUGCUGAGAGUGGCGCACGGGUGCGUAACACGUAUGUAACCUACCUUUAUCAGGUGGAUAGCCUCUCGAAAGAGAGAUUAAGCCCGCAUAAAAUCACAGCACAGCAUUGUGUAAUGAUCAAAUAUUUAUAGUAUAAAGAUGGGCAUGCGGAACAUUAGCUUGAUGGCGGGGUAACGGCCCACCAUGGCGACGAUGUUUAGGGGAUCUGAGAGGAUGGCCCCCCACAAUGGUACUGAGACACGGACCAGAAUCGUACGGGAGGCAGCAGUAAGGAAGAUUGGGGAAUGGGCGGAAGCCUGAACCAGCCAUGCCGCGUGCAGGAAGACGGCCCUACGGGUGGUAAACUGCUUUUAUACGGGAAUAAACCCAGAUACGUGUAUCUGGCUGAAUGUACUGAAAGAAUAAGGAUCGGCUAACUCCGUG